rnacentral:piRNA from 1 species
UGUGAACUUAUACAGUGCCCAUAGCCAUAGA